GACGAACGCUGGCGGCGUGCUUAACACAUGCAAGUCGAACGGAAAGGCCCUGCUUUUGUGGGGUGCUCGAUUGGCGAACGGGUGAGUAACACGUUAGUAACCUUCCCUUUACUUUGGUAUAACUUCAGGAAACUUGGUCUAAUACCGGAUAUGAUCUCCUGCUGCAUGGUGGUGGUUGUAAAGUUUCGGCGGUUGGGGAUGGUCUCGCGGCUUAUCAGCUUGUUGGUUGGUUAGUGGCUUACCAUGGCUUUGACGGGUAGCCUGCCUGUGAGGGUGACCGGCGACAUUGGGACUGAGAUACGGACAAGACUGAUACGGGAGGCAGCAGUGGGGAAUAUUGCACAAUGGGAGGAAGCAUGAUGCAGAAAAGCAGCGUGCGGGAUGACGGCCUUCGGGUUGUAAACAGAUUUCGCCUGUGACGAAGAGUGAGUGACGGUAAUGGGUAAAGAAGCACCGGCUAACUACGUG
rnacentral:rRNA from 1 species